rnacentral:rRNA from 1 species
CCUACGGGGCGCAGCAGUGGGGAAUAUUGGACAAUGGGCGAAAGCCUGAUCCAGCCAUGCCGCGUGUGUGAAGAAGGCCUUCGGGUUGUAAAGCACUUUCAGUGGGGAAGAAAGCCUUGGGGCUAAUACCCUCGAGGAAGGACAUCACCCACAGAAGAAGCACCGGCUAACUCCGUGCCAGCAGCCGCGGUAAUACGGAGGGUGCGAGCGUUAAUCGGAAUUACUGGGCGUAAAGCGCGCGUAGGCGGUCUGAUAAGCCGGUUGUGAAAGCCCCGGGCUCAACCUGGGAACGGCAUCCGGAACUGUCAGGCUAGAGUGCAGGAGAGGAAGGUAGAAUUCCCGGUGUAGCGGUGAAAUGCGUAGAGAUCGGGAGGAAUACCAGUGGCGAAGGCGGCCUUCUGGACUGACACUGACGCUGAGGUGCGAAAGCGUGGGUAGCAAACAGGAUUAGAUACCCAGUAGUC